rnacentral:rRNA from 1 species
GACGAACGCUGGCGGCGUGCCUAAUACAUGCAAGUCGAACGCAUUUUCUUUCACCGUAGCUUGCUACACCGAAAGAAAAUGAGUGGCGAACGGGUGAGUAACACGUGGGUAACCUGCCCAUCAGCGGGGGAUAACACUUGGAAACAGGUGCUAAUACCGCAUAAUUCCAUUUACCGCAUGGUAAAUGGAUGAAAGGCGCUUUUGCGUCACUGAUGGAUGGACCCGCGGUGCAUUAGCUAGUUGGUGGGGUAACGGCCUACCAAGGCUGCGAUGCAUAGCCGACCUGAGAGGGUGAUCGGCCACACUGGGACGGAGACACGGCCCAGACUCCUACGGGAGGCAGCAGUAGGGAAUCUUCGGCAAUGGACGCAAGUCUGACCGAGCAACGCCGCGUGAUUGAAGAAGGUUUUCGGAUCGUAAAACUCUGUUGUUAGAGAAGAACAAGGAUGAGAGUGGAAAGUUCAUCCCUUGACGGUAUCUAACCAGAAAGCCACGGCUAACUACGUG